AUGUGAUGAUGGAUGUGAUCUUUCAGACCAUGGAGUUGCACCAAAUAUGAUGUUUGAUGUGAUCUUUCAGACCAUGGAGUUGCAUCAAAUGUGUGAUGAUGGAUGUGAUCUUGCAGACCAUGGAGUUGCAUCAAAUGUGAUGAUGGAUGUGAUCUUUCAGAUCAUGGAGUUGCACCAAAUAUGAUGAUGACUGUGUAUGUGUUGGAAUGAGGCAUGAUGGAGCAAUUGGACCGAGGAGUUGCAUCAAAUAUGAUGAUGGAUGUGAUCUUUCAGACCAUGGAGUUGCACCAAAUAUGAUGAUGGAUAGAUGUCAGAAAGUGGACUGUGACAGAGUAAUGAAGAACUUGACAUGCAUGGUGGAAGUUGAUCGAGACUAUCAAUUCUUCGAGAGGUCCAGCGACUUUAUACUCGCAAGAAGGAUAUGGUAUGGAAUAGCUUUCUACACUUCUGGGCUGGCAGAUUUGUAAGAUUGGAAGUUGUUUCAGUGUGGAGAGAGAUGAACACUUUGUAUGGUCAGGUAAAAUUUGCUUUUGAAGUCACAAGUAAGUCUUGAUAAAGGCAUUGCCAUUUCUAGUUGUUUAGCUAACUAUGUACUGGAAAGUUGGUGGUUCUACUCUUAAAAGGUGUCUGUCUUUGUCCCAAGUAAGUCUCAAUAAUGCCAUUUCCAUUUCUUGUUUUCUAACUAGCUAUGUAUUGGAAAGUUGGUGGUUCUACUCUUAAAAGGUGUCUGUCUUUAUCCCAAGUAAGUCUCAAUAAAGCCAUUUCCAUUUCUUGUUUUCUAACUAGCUAUGUAUUGGAAAGUUGGUGGUUCUACUCUUAAAGAUUGUCUGUCUUUGUCCCAAGUAAGUCUCAAUAAAGCCAUUUCCAUUUAUUGUUUUCUAACUAGCUAUGUAUUGGAAAGUUGGUGGUUCUACUCUUAAAAGGUGUCUGUCUUUGUCUGAAACAAUGUCAUUAAGGCACAUUUUCCUCCACCUUUAAAGCUGGACAGUCACCAAAAUAGAACAUAGUAUUGUAUCUGUUUAAUAGAAAAAUUGCUUAGGUUACAUUGUUACUUCUUGAGAUUGCAAUGUUGUUCUGUUAACCCCAGUGACAUUUCAGUGAACCCUUGCAACAUGUUGGCUGGAUUUAUGUCGGAAUGUGUGUGGCUGUGUGACAUUGGUGAAGAGAUUUUUAUGACAUUGGUGAAGUGUGAUUGUGCUGGAAAGUGACAUGUAGGAGCAUUGGUAAAUUAUCUAUUUUGAAUUUGUGUAAGUCACAGGACAGCUGUUGUGCAACAGGUAUGGAGGCUCAAUUUUUCAAUAGCUUAGUAAUAAAUCAGUUACACAUUCAGUAGAUUGGAAUUGUCUUUUGUAGAUUUAAAGUCUAUAACGAUGUAGACUGGAAUAUUGGUUGCUAUACUCUGUCUGGUUCCAGCCCUUGCCUGAAACAAUGUACAUUUGGGGAAUUUUUCCUACCAAUAAAGGUGGCCGGCAAGUCGCCAUAUGACUUGAAAACCAACUUAACAAUUGCUACUUCUUUAGCUAAGAGUUUGUUUAAAAUAUGGUCAAUGUUAACAUUUUGAGAUUGGAAUGUUGUUUUGUUAACCAAAUAUCUUUUCAGUAAACACUUAGAUCAUGGAGUCUGAAUUGCUUGAGUGGCCUCAAAUGUGAUGAUGGAUAGAUGUCUGAAAAUGGAUGGUAAAAGCACACUUGUGACAGAGUAAUGAAGAACUUGACAUGCAUGGUGGAAGUUGAUCGAGACUAUCAAUUCUUCGAGAGGUCCAGCGACUAUAUACUCGCAAGAAGGAUAUGGUAUGGAAUAGCUUUCUACACCUCUGGGCUGGCAGAUUUGUAAGAUUGGAAGUUGUUUCAGUGUGGAGAGAGAUGAACACUUUGUAUGGUCAGGUAAAAUUUGCUUUUGAAGUCACAAGUAAGUCUCAAUAAAGGCAUUUCCAUUUCUAGUUUUCUAACUAGCUAUGUAUUGGAAAGUUGGUGGUUCUACUCUUAAAAGGUGUCUGUCUUUGUCCCAAGUAAGUCUCAAUAAAGCCAUUUCCAUUUCUUGAUUUCUAACUAGCUAUGUAUUGGAAAGUUGGUGGUUCUACUCUUAAAAGGUGUCUGUCUUUGUCCGAAACAAUGUCAUUAAGGCACAUUUUCCUCUACCUUUAAAGCUUGACAGUCACCAAAAUAGAACAUAGAAUUGUAUCUGUUUAAUAGAAAAAUUGCUUAGGUUACAUUGUUACUUUUUGAGAUUGCAAUGUUGUUCUGUUAACCCCAGUGACAUUUCAGUGAACCCUUGCAACAUGUUGGCUGGAUUUAUGUCGGAAUGUGUGUGGCUGUGUGACAUUGGUGAAGUGAUUUUUAUGACAUUGGUGAAGUGUGAUUGUGCUGGAAAGUGACAUGAUGGAGCAUUGGUAAAUUAUCUAUUUUGAAUUUGUGUAAGUCAUAGGACAGCUGGAGUGCAACAUGUAUGGAGGCAUGUAGACUGGAAUAUUGGUUGCUAUAAUCUGUUUGGUACCAGCCCUUGCCUGAAACAAUGAACAUUUGGGGCAUUUUUCCUACCAAUAAAGGAGGCCGGCCAGUCGCCAUAUGACUUGACAACCAACUAAACAAUUGUUUCUAGUUUAGCUAAGGGUUUGUUUAAGAUAUGGUCAAUGUUAACAUUUUGAGAUUGGAAUGUUGUUUUGUUAACCCAGUGACUUUUCAGUAAACCUAUAGACCAUGGAGUCUGAAUGGCUUAAGUGGCAUUAAAUGUGAUGAUGGAUAGAUGUCAGGAAAUGGAUGGUAAAAG